GGAAACCUAACUGCAGGAAGACCUUCCCCGGCUGACAAGAUAUGUGAAGAUUUACACCAUCUAAAAACCAGAAGGUUGAUCAGGCAAGACCUGCCUUGGUGAAGCUAUGCUGGUUAUUCCAUAUCACUUCUUGCUCUUCCAUAUGCUUUAUCAUAACUUCCAGGAGAACCUUCCUCAUGAUCUUCCCAGGCACUGAGUCACAAUGGGUUUCCCCUGACCACCGUGACUUUUCAAAUAUCAUCACAAGCAGCUUGGCAACUAAAUGAACAAAUUCCCCUCAGGACUCUGGAAUGUGUCUCAUUGGGAACCAUAAGACUAAUAGAUAUAUAAUUAUUUGAAAAACUUAAUUGCUAGUUAAUUUUUCUAAAGCUAAAAGUGAUUCAGUUUAUCUUACAAUGAAUAGACUAUGUGCUGGUUUUUUUUUUUUUGUUGUUGUUGUUGUUGUUUGUUUGAUGUGUGUGUUUGUUUGUUUUGCUUUUUCUAUUUCCAUUAUUGAACUGU